UUCCACUCUCCUUCAGAAGCCUGGUUCUUUCUCAUGGCCAUCGCUCCAUAAGCCACCUCUGGGACCCAUUGCUGUUUCAGUGCCAACAAGAUGCUGGGUACCAGAACAGUUCCCAAGAUCUUUCUGGCCUCCAACCCAGAACGCUGAGCCAGGCUGGGAGACAGCUAUACACAAGGGACAGCUGAAGGAGUUACCUGGGCACUUCCAUUCCCUCCAUAUUUUUCCAGUUUCAGCCGUGGUGUGAGUGGGAGAUAAGAACUGUACACUUGUUGUAAGCAACUCGGUGUGAUGUGAUCCUGAAACGCUACAAUGCUUACCACUGCAUUAAAACCAACUGGCAAGAA